AUGCAGCGGGCGAUGCAGCCGGAGCCGGCGGAGAGCGCGCGCCGGGCACAAAGGCGCGGACCGCGGCCUGGCCCCGCCCCUACCACCUCCCUCCCCGCCUCCCUCUCCAGCCCCGCCCCCGCACCGGCAGAAGCUCCACCCCCCGGCCAAUCCUGGCGCGCCGCGCUCCCCGCCGAGCCAAUGACGGCGCUGUCCGCGCGCGGCCACCUGACCCUGGGCGCCGUUGUUAUUAGGCGCGGCGAGGCCGGCGGCGCGCGGCAGCAGGGUUGGGCUCAAGCGGAGAGUCGACGGAGGGAGCGAGGGCCGGGAACGCGCGCGCGCGCCCCCGCGUUUUUGUUGCUGUCAGCGGCGGCCGCUCGCUUGUCUCCCGCCUCCCGAUACGGUCUUGUUCAGCCCCCUCAGCCCUCCUGCCCUCCUCCCUCGCCGGCCCUCAGACCCAUCAGACAAGCGCUUGACUGUUUUCCCAGUACCAAUCAAGCUAAACCAGUCAGCCUACCCACCAGUCCUGCUUCCCAGAAGGUUUUCUAUCUAGUGGGGAGAAGAAAAGAUUGGUUCCCAUGGCCUCUCAUUGCAAACCAGCUCAUCCUCUGGCAAUCUGAGACCAAGACUGCACAUUCAGCCAGAGCGCUCACCUGACUGACUAGACCCCAGGGUCAGAAGACCUGGGUGUGACCUUGGGCAGUCACCCAACGUGCCUGACCUCAUCUGAAAGGUGGAGGUAAUGUUCAUGCCCAUCUCAUAAGGCUGCUCUGUCACUGAUUGGGAAAAUAGUGGGCGAGGGGGGAGAACCCUUGAGAGUUGCUUUCUCUGAGCUUGUAGCUACUUCAGUGGGUAUGGGGUGGGACACACCUACCUCCUUUGCAAGUGAAGAUGUGGCUGCUCCAAAGGACAGAAGCGUCUGCUUGGGGUCACAGCAAAGUUAUGGGUAAAGCUGGCCCAGAACCAGGAGUUCUGAUCCCCACCCAGCGCCGUAGGCUCUUCCCUCCUCCCCACCCACACCCCACCCCCAUCUCUGUCUUUCUCUCUCCCCCUCCCCUUCUUUCCUCCUCUCCUUGUCUCUCUCUGCAGUGGAUGGAAUUGUGCCCCCUAGAAUUCCUAGGUUAAAACCCUAACCCUCGGUGUGACUUUAUUUGGGGAGAGGGUCUUUAGGAGGUAAUUAGGUUAAAUGAGGUCAUAAGGGUAGGGCCCUGAUCUCAGGAUUGGUUGCCUUAAAGGAAAAGCCACCUCUCUCUCUGCACGCCCCCCCCCCCACCACCACCACCACGUGCAUACACUAAGGAGGGCCUUGUGAGCACUCAGUCAGAUGGCAGCAGCCUGCAAACCAAGAUAAGAGGCGUCAGAAUGGAAACCUACCUUGCUGGCACCUUGACCUUGGACUUGCCAGCCUCCAGCACUGUGAGGAAUUUCUUUAUCAAGCCACCCAGUCUGUAAUGUUUUGUUAUGGCAGCCGAAAGAGACUAAUAUACUCUCUCUGCUUCUGUAACGUCUCUCUCUCUUUUUCUCUCUGCUCGCUCCCUCCCCGCAGUCCCUGACUUUCCCACAGCACUUUCGCCCUCUGCUGGCCAGUCUCGGGUUAGCAGGCAAGGUCCGGGCCUCGGAGAGGGUCUGUCUCAUCCAAGGCAGUAUCUUCCCACCCUCCCCCCAACACACACACCGCACACACUCCCCAGGAUGAGAGUCGGAUGGCAUCUCACCACCCCUUGGUUUGCCCUCCCUCACACCCAAUAACCCAGCACACCGUAAUCCCUGAUACAUGAGCAAACACUUUUUGUUCUAAGCUCCUGAGUCAGGGCCGAAACUGACCCAUCUCUUUACCGACCCUCAUGCCCACGUACUCACUCACUGCCCGGCACACAGUAGGUGCCCACUAAAUGAGUGACUAAGGGAAGACACUCACUUAUGGGGAUUUCAUGAGUUCUUGUAUUGGGUGGGCGGGGGGGAGGCUCUGACUGAGGAAGGGAACGUCUCUUCCUUCUGGUGGAACCCCCCAUAUGCACACUUCACAUGGUGUCUGGGUGGUGCCCACGCUCACUCCCUGCACACAGCGCCAAGCAGUGCCCGCCCAGGCUACAGGUGACGGAUGGGGAGCCCCGUCUCCUGCCUCGUUAAGUGGCCUCCCACCCAGCUCCACCAGCCAACCUGGAGCAGGGGACGUGCAUCUCUUGGUUUGUCACUUGGCAAACCAACUCAGAGGAAAGGAAGACAAAGCGACUGUCUCCGUAAUUCAGCCCCCUCAGCCCGGGAAGGAACUGUAUCUGAGGUGGCUAAUUAAGAUGAAUCUAUCCGAGGGGAGAGGAAACCCCAGCUUCAGCUUUCUAGCUUAAAGGCUGCUCCAUCACUCUGGUUCCUAAAUCAGCCGUGGGAGGCAGGGGUGGGAGGGAAGGGAGUCUCCUGGCCCAGUGUGCUCAGCCAGCCUCCUCUCAUCCCCAUCAGUCCAGGAUGAAGGUGAAGAGAGUGAGGAACUCACCUGGGGCACAAGAUUUCAGGGGGCGCCACGAGCAGGAUCGUACAGGGUGAGCGUCAGCGAUCCCUCCCUUCGCCUCCGGCUCUCCUGCAGCUCAGCACUGUGCUGCUCCUGAUCUCGUCUUUCACUUUUUGAUAAUUUAUUCAUUGCGGACUUUUUUUGCAUGAAUUUUGAUUUUUUUUUUAAUAAUGAAAGUGGGGACUUAGAUAUCUGUAUAUCCGUGUUCUUAGCAGCAUUAUCCACAAUAGCCAAAGAAUAGAAAACAACCCAGGUGUCCACUGACGGAUGAGGGGAUAUAUGAAGUGUGGUGUAUCCAUAAUGGAAUUGUAUUCAGCCUCUAAAAGGGGAGGAGAUUCUGACACGUGCUGCGGCAUGGAAGAACCGUCAGGACGUUUUGCUAAGUGAAAUGAACGGUCACAAAAAGUCAAGUGCUGCGUGAUUCCACUUACAUGAAGUCCUUAGAGCAGUCAAAUGUAGAGAGACAGAAGGCAGUGUUACCCCUGGGGCUGGGGAGAGCAGGGACUGGGAGGUUAGUGUUCAGUGGAUACUGGCUUUCAGCUGGGGAAGAGGAGAGCAUUCUAAAGAUGGAUGGAGGCGAGGCUUGCACAACAAUGUGACUAUACAAUGCCACUGAACCGAACAUACAAAAUAGUUAAUAUGGUAAAUUUUUUAUAUUUUACUGCAAUAAAAAUACUGCAU
rnacentral:lncRNA from 1 species